rnacentral:rRNA from 1 species
ACACACCGCCCGUCACACCAUGAGAGUUGGGAAUACCCGAAGCCUGUGAGCUAACUUUUAGAGGCAGCAGUCGAAGGUAGAAUCAAUGAUUGGGGUGAAGUCGUAACAAGGUAAC